rnacentral:rRNA from 1 species
GAUGAACGCUAGCGGCAGGCCUAACACAUGCAAGUCGAGGGGUAGAAGGAGCUUGCUCCUUUGAGACCAGCGCACGGGUGCGUAACGCGUAUGCAAUCUACCUUGUACAGGGGAAUAGCCCAGAGAAAUUUGGAUUAAUGCCCCAUAGUAUAUAACCUUCGCAUGUUGGUUAUAUUAAAGUUCCAACGGUACAAGAUGAGCAUGCGUCCCAUUAGUUAGUUGGUAAGGUAACGGCUUACCAAGACGAUGAUGGGUAGGGGUCCUGAGAGGGAGAACCCCCAAAUGGGGAAUGGGACCCGACCCAGACUCCUAGGGGGGGCAGGAGUGGGGGAUAGUGGUCAAGGGGCGCAAGACUGAACCAGCCAUGGCGCGUGGAGGAAGACGGUCCUGUGGAUUGUAAACUUCUUUUAUAAAGGAAGAAACCCUCCCACGUGGGGGAGCUGGCGGGUACUGAAGGAAUAAGGAUCGGAUAACUCCGG